UAUUAAUCAAAUAAUUUUUUUAAUUAUAUAAUUAAAAAUAUAAUAUUGAGUUAUUUUAAGAUUUAUUUUAGUAAUGAAUCUAUCUAUAUAUAUAAAAAUAUGUUUGUCUCUCUCCUAAGCUAUCCACGUGGAAAGUCACUAUCUGACAGACCGACAUGUGUGUCUGGGUUUUAUUUAUUUGGCUGGACCUGAAUUUAACUUUGGACUUAUACUAUGAACAAUUGACAGACUUUUUACUCUUUAAUAUUAUUGAAUGUGUUAAUUAUUUCUUAAUACAUAGUAGAUAAAACAAAACAAACACACAUUACGAUAUAAACGUUAUAUUAUCAUCAAAACAAUCUUUACAAUAUGUACCUCAUCAAGUGAUAAUUUAUAAAGUAGCAACGAAUCUAUGAGUUCAGCAAAUUUGCAAUUACGUACUUCAGAAUUUUAAGUAUAUAAGUGUGUUGAAUAUUAUAUUCAUAUGAUUUAAAAACCUUUACAAAUUUGUACUUUUAAACAUACACCAAAAACUUUGUGAAAGUAAAUAUCUAUUCACGUUCUCAACCACUUCAAAUACCACCAACGCCAAAAAAA
rnacentral:lncRNA from 1 species